CCAGGAUCAGAAGGACAAUAGAAGACAAUCACUCCCUCCACCAAUCUCCUGCCUAGCUCAACCUGUGUGGAACUACUCACCUCAUCUACACCAAGGUCCACUGUUUCUCGUUCCCUGCAUCCGUUUGAAGACCUUUCCAUCAGAAUCUUCAAGCCGCUCCUCUGGUGGCUCUCCUGGCACAAGAACUCCUCUGUAACUCAUCACUCACCGACCUGCCUGUCCACCCUUCAAUGUUUCACUGAUCAACAACUCCAACAAGGAAAAGAAGCACCAAAGGAGACAUUAUUAACUCCACCAAUCUGGAUAUCCUUGCCUUCUAUGCACCGAUAAUGGACUCCAGCAAAGUGUUCCUAAGUCCCUACAUCUGUCUUAAUAACGCUCCUUAAGAACCACCACACUGCUCCUCCAGCAGUCCUCCUGGCUCACCUGCUUGUCCACCCUUCAACAAUUCACUGAUCAACAACUCCAACCUGGAAAAGAAGGACAAAAGAAGACAAUGACUAACUCCACCAAUGACAAAGCUCCUUCCUAGCUCAACCUGUGUGGAUAUACUCAGCACAUCUGCACCAAAAUCUGUUUUGUCUGUCAGUACUCAGAUGCUGGAUUCCAGCGUAUUGUUCCUCAGUCCCUCCAUCUGUUUUGACAACUCUUCUUAAGAACCGCCCUCCUGGCACACCUGCCUGUCCAUCCUUCAGAGAUUCACCAUAGUCACCUUGCCUGCACCACAGGUCUCCUGAGGAAGACUACAGACUGUUCACCUCCUACAAGUGAUUUUCUGGCUGACCUCCUGGAACAAUGGCUCUUCUUUAAAUCAUCGUUCCCUCACCUCCUGGUGAACCCUCCAACAUUUCACAGAGCCACAACUCACACCUUGACAAGAAAGACCAAAGACACUUGUCAUCUCCACCAAUCUCCUGCCUAACUCAACCAGUGUGGAUAAAGUCAUCUUGUCUGCACCAUGCCGUCCUGGGUUCUUGAUCCAUAGCAAGAAGAAUCAUCAAACUUUGCAGAUUCACCAAUAAACCUUUUAAACUUUC